rnacentral:misc_RNA from 1 species
UCUCCGUUGGUGAACCAGCGGAGGGAUCAUUACAGAGUUGCAAAACUCUCAAACCAUUGUGAACGUUACCUAUCCCGUUGAUUCGGCGGGCGGCCCGGGCCCUGCGCCCGGCGCCCCCCGGCCCCCCGUGGGCGCCCGCCGGAGGUAAACCAAACCCUUGAAUUGCAUGGCCUCUCUGAGUCUUCUGUACUGAAUAAGUCAAAGCUUUCAACAACGGAUCUCUUGGUUCUG